rnacentral:rRNA from 1 species
GAUGAACGCUAGCGGCAGGCUUAACACAUGCAAGUCGAGGGGUAACAGAGAGUGCUUGCACUUUGCUGACGACCGGCGCACGGGUGCGUAACGCGUAUACAAUCUACCUCUUACUAGAGGGAUAGCCCAGAAGAAAUUUGGAUUAAUACCUCAUGGUAAUCUAAUAUCGCAUGAUUUUAGAUUUAAAGAUUAUCGGUAUAGGAUGGGCAUGCGUAGUAUUA